rnacentral:rRNA from 1 species
UAUGUGAUCGUCUCUCGCAUAUCAAUAAGCGGAGGAAAAGAAACUAACAAGGAUUCCCCUAGUAACGGCGAGUGAGGCGGGAAGAGCUCAAAUUUGAAAUCUUAAAGGGUUUCCCUUUACGAAUUGUAGUUUAAAGAAGUGUUUUCUGUUGAGGUUUUGGUAAAAGUUCUUUGGAAUAGGACAUCAUAGAGGGUGAGAAUCCCGUAUUUGACCUUUACUUUCAACUUUGUGAUACACUUUCAAAGAGUCGGAUUGUUUGGGAAUGCAGUCCAAAAUGGGUGGUAAAUUUCAUCUAAAGCUAAAUAUUGGCGAGAGACCGAUAGCGAACAAGUACCGUGAGGGAAAGAUGAAAAGAACUUUGAAAAGAGAGUUAAACAGUACGUGAAAUUGUCAAAAGGGAAGCGUUUGACACCAGUGUUGUUUUUCUGAAAAUCAAUUAAAGAACUGUUUAUGCUAAGCUGUUUAGACUUUAUCAGCUAUCUGUUUAGUUUUGAGCUUUUCUUUAAUGCACUUUUCAGUUAACAAGUCAACAUCAAUUUCUUUUGUUGUAAAAAAGCUUGAGGAAGGUGGCUUGAGAUUCGUCUUAAGUGUUUAUAGCCUCUUGCCUAUGCAGUCGGAGAGAUUGAGGUCUGCAGCGUAGAUCCUUCGGGGCUAAACGCAUUUGUGCUAAGUUAUAGCAUUUUAUAGACAACUUGUUGACUAUGAUUUGUCUUGUAGCUUACUCGCUUAUGUUAUUUUACCUACGCUUAGGAUGUUGACGCGCGUGUGUGCGUG